rnacentral:rRNA from 1 species
UGAGGAAUAUUGGUCAAUGGGCGAGAGCCUGAACCAGCCAAGUCGCGUGAAGGAAGAAUGCGUUAUGCGUUGUAAACUUCUUUUGUCAGGGAAUAAAACAGGAAUCGUGAUUCCAAUUGAAUGUACCUGAAGAAUAAGCAUCGGCUAACUCCGUGCCAGCAGCCGCGGUAAUACGGAGGAUGCGAGCGUUAUCCGGAUUUAUUGGGUUUAAAGGGUGCGUAGGCGGUUUUGUAAGUCAGUGGUGAAAGUUUGCGGCUCAACCGUAAAAUUGCCAUUGAAACUGCAAGACUUGAGUACAGUAGAGGUAAGUGGAAUUCGUAGUGUAGCGGUGGAAUGCUUAGAUAUUACGAAGAACUCCAAUUGCGAAGGCAGCUUGCUGGACUGUAACUGACGCUGAGGCACGAAAGUGUGGGGAUCAAACA